AAGGGUGUUGUUCAGUUUCCACGUGAAUA
rnacentral:piRNA from 1 species